rnacentral:rRNA from 1 species
UAUUGUGGCCAUACCGGCUGGUCAAAAGCCUGAUCUCAUCAGAUCUCAAGAGCUAAGCAAGGCCAGGCCUACUUUGUACUUGGAGAGGAGACCACUGGGAAUGCCAGGUGCCACAGUGG